UUGAUUAUAACUAAUUAAAAUUAACACACAUAAUUAGUUUCUGCAAUGUUAAUGAUUAAAUAUUUUCUGCAUGUUUAAGAGUUAAAUCAGUAUGAUAAUAAUUAACUAAAAUCUGAAUUGUUUUAAAUGUUUGCCUUGUUAAUUAAUUAGUCUAAGUAAUUCAGCUGUUUAAUAACUUGAUCCUGUCAGUUAACUGACCAAGUUCUAACAAAUUUGCAUGUUAAUCAUUUAGAAAUCAUGCUUAUAGGUUUAUUAAUCAAAUUUUCUGCAGUAAUAAUGAUUUGGUUACUGAGAUCAGUUUAAUUAAAUAAAUUCUGCAACUUAUCGUAAUUUUCUGCAUCUCUGAAAUUAAUCAAUAAAUUAUUAUAAUAUUGUUAUGCUUGUAUGCACACACUUAGCAUGAGACCUUCACUAAUUAUGUGUUGUUUGCAAGCAUGUUAAUUAAAACUUAGAGGUCAACAUGAGACUUUAUGUGCUAAGUGUUGUCUAAUGUGUUUCGCUUGGUGUCUAGGGGGCUUAUUUAGAAGCAUAUAUUUUAUUUUGGUCUAAAUCCAUCCUAAUAGUAGUCCAAUGACUCUUGGACCUUAAGUGGGGACGCUAGGCACCUUUUAGAGAUGAAAUGCAUGCGAAAGGUGGGGUAGGGGUAGUUUAGGCCCUAUGGAGAUGAUUACAUUGCCUCGAGCCGUAAAUGACAAACAUUUAUUUUGUUUGUCCCUAUAUAGAAGCCGAGCGCUGAUCCGUAAUGUCCUUCAGAGUCUCCCUUUCCUUUUGUCCCUUUAUUUGUUUAUAAUUAUAAUUGUCUGGGGUAGCUUAAAUAAAUAUAUAAAAUUAUUUGUCUAUUUACUUGUGCAAUUUCUGUCUUCUCGCUUAUCUCUUUACUAACUGUUUAAUAUUUAUUUGUUAUUAUGUUAUCACUUAGUAUUGCAUGUUUAAC
rnacentral:lncRNA from 1 species